rnacentral:tRNA from 1 species
GGCUUAUUAGCUUAGUUGAUUAGAGUGGCGUGCUAAUAACGCGAAACUCGCAGGUUCGAAACCUACAUGAGCCA